CAAGAGAGAAAAGAGAAGCACCUGUUGUUCAUUGUACUUCAUCAGGUGCUCUGGUCAAUCGUACGUGAACGUUUCCUUUCUGGAAAUCAUAUUCCCGGCACCUGCUGGAGUGCAAUUGAUGCGAAAGUGCAUUCUGCAUCCAUCUUUU
rnacentral:precursor_RNA from 11 species